rnacentral:rRNA from 1 species
UACGUAGGGGGCUAGCGUUGUCCGGAUUUAUUGGGCGUAAAGAGCGUGUAGGCGGCCAGGUAGGUCUGCUGUGAAAACUCGAGGCUCAACCUCGAGAUGUCGGCGGAAACCAUCUGGCUAGAGUCCGGAAGAGGAGAGUGGAAUUCCUGGUGUAGCGGUGAAAUGCGCAGAUAUCAGGAAGAACACCCGUGGCUAAGGCGGCUCUCUAGUACGGUACUGACGCUGAGACGCGAAAGCGUGGGGAGCGAACAGG